GGUGAGGUGGCCGAGUGGUUAAGGUGAUAGAUUAUUAAUCCAUUGUUCUUUGCACGCAUGGGUUCGAAUCCCAUCAUCAUUG